rnacentral:rRNA from 1 species
GUGAGGAAUUUUCCGCAAUGGGCGAAAGCCUGACGGAGCAAUGCCGCGUGAAGGAUGAAGGCCUAUGGGUUGUAAACUUCUUUUCUCAGAUAAGAAUUAUGACGGUAUCUGAGGAAUAAGCAUCGGCUAACUCUGUGCCAGCAGCCGCGGUAAGACAGAGGAUGCAAGCGUUAUCCGGAAUGAUUGGGCGUAAAGCGUCUGUAGGUUGUUUAAAAAGUAUUCUGUCAAAGAUUAGGGCUUAACCCUAGAUAGGCAGAAUAAACUUUUAAGCUAGAGUUUGGUAGAGGCAGAGGGAAUUCCCGGUGGAGCGGUGAAAUGCGUAGAUAUCGGGAGGAACACCAAAGGCGAAGGCACUCUGCUGGGCCAAUACUAACACUGAGAGACGAAAGCGAGGGGAGCAAAUGGGAUUAGAUACCCGGGUAGUCC